AAACAAUAAAACAAAAAUGAAAGGAAAAUCGAAAAAACGACUGCAGGAUGUCAGUGCAGAUGAAGAAGGACGCCUAAUCUAAGCUGGUGCCCAUUACUGUGGGACUUCACCGAUAGGAAGCAAUACCACAACAGGGCAAAUCCGCAGAAUAGUUGAAGUGCUGGACGAGAUCCACUAGAAUAUCCCAUUUAGAGGAACAUGCCGAGUGGGGCUUCGCUCCCUAUAUGGACACCCUACCGGCCGUAUCGUUGCAAAGAAUCGAACCACCAGUAAUACGAUCUCCGACGAGCUCUCCAUUGGGGAACAACAGGACUCCACCCUCACCAGCUUCUUGGAGGUUUAAGCUGCAGGACGCUCUGGCUUCUGUAGGGUGAAGGAAAAGAGGUCGCCCGCAGCCAUUGCCAGUAUACUGGGCGACUUCCUGCAGCAUCAGCGAAACGUUUUCAAUCCGACUCCCACUUUCUCAAGGCCCAUGCUGGCAUAUAAGGAAUCGGAGCUGGACUGCAAAUGGCGCGGAGAAAAUGGCGAAGCAUCCGUGACAAGAGCAGGAACCUUAAACUACAAAUUUACCACCAGCAGAUUCGUUUGUUGAGCCUAGUACUCACAUCGACGAAAACCGCGAGCUAACCAUAGGAGUCAGGGAGAGGCAAAUACGCGGCUAACGCUUUUCGUCGGGUCUGAUGAGCUAAGGGAAUACCAGAGGUAAAGAAAUACGCGAGUGAAUUUCGAUGAACGCCGUUAGCCGCGGCGCGAAAAUGCUGACCUAGGGGAUUUUGCAAACUCAGAAUGUACACCACUCCAAAUCAGGCCUUCUUUUGUACUUAAAACAAAAAUAAAACAAGGAAGAACGCUAUAGUCGAGUACCUCGACGAUACACGGGUAGCUCAAAAAAGCGCGGAAAAAGGGUGCUCAAAAAAGCGCUCAAUACGUUAUAGUUUUUGAGCACUGAUGAACUCUAGGACAUGCCUAUGUUAAUUUAAGCACUCAUUUUCAUACAAAUUGUGCGCUCAUUGAGCGCUCAGUGAUGAACUUUUUGCAGUGAUUGAGUGCUCAAAAACUAGCACGUAUUGAGCGCUUUUUUGAGCACCCUUUUGAGUGCUUUUUUGAGCAGAAAAAAAAAGGUUCAGCACACGUUGAGCGCUCGUUUAAGCAUCAGAAAACCACACGUCCAGCACACGUUGAGCGCUCGUUUAAGCAGCAAAAAAGCACAUGUUAUGCACCUUUUUAUCGCGUAGCAGCAAUUUUAUUUACAUUUAUAUUUUUAUACCCUUGCAGAGGGUACAUUGAUUUCAGUCAGAAUUUUGCAACGCAGUGAAGGAGACGUUUCCGACCCCAUAAAGUAUAUAUAUUCUUUUUUUUUAUAUAUUAAGUUACUUUCUUCUGUGAAGAGGAAAGAAUUAUUUGGCCGCCCCGUUGGAACGGGUUAACGCCACCGCCAAAUAUAUAUAUUCUUGAUCAGCAUGACUAGACGAGUCGAUCUAGCCAUGUCCGCCAGUCCGUCCGUUUCUACGCAAACUAGUCUCUC